GGUGGCCGUGGAAACCAAUCCAUGAACCAUUCCGUCACUCUGCCAGACUGUCCGCCGGGCAAGGCGUCCCCUCCAGAUCCGCCUGCGAGGCGAUUGCCCCUUAAGCAAGCGAGGGAAGGAGGCUGUCAGCCGAGUAAUGGCUUGAACAACUCCCAAAUUGUCGCAGUGAAACACUACCCUUAGAUCCUGAAACGUGACUGCCAGACCUCCCCCA